UAUCAUUUGGCUUUCAGUUUGCUUUUAUCAAAAACAUUGAAAACCCUAACCGUAUCUCUCUGAAAACCAACCUACUGAAAAAAUCAUUCCACAUACAAGCUUUGCAUCUUCUUUUUUUCAAUCUGUAGCAUACUAUGAACGAUCGAGCUUCUUUUCUCCUUCUCUUCUUUUAUUCUCCUUGUCGUGUCCACAGCUUGCUCCACAACUAGCAAAACCACCACCUCCAUCACCACGAGCAACAUCACCAGGGACUGGGAUUGAUUCCUUCAGAAAUUUUGAGAAAUGGCAGGAAAAUGUAAAGGGUCUUUUUCAACUUUCAGAAAUGUAGAUGGAAGAAUAGUUACUUCUGCAGAUGAUGAGGUAAUGGAGGUAGACGAUGUUCUUCUCGAUAUGUAUGUAUCCAUUUUUCCAAAUUUCGUUCUCUUUGUUAACUGAUUUUCCUAUUUGAUUUCAUUCGAUUGAUUUGGUUUUUUAGUUGUACUGUUUCGUUUUGAUGGUGUUGUAAUUCUAGAAAGGUGAAACUGUACCUAUUGCAUAGAUGGAAAUCAAUGGAAAAGAUGAGGAGUUGUAAUUGUGAAGAUUCUUAAACAUAAGCAGAGUGAGAUAGUUCGUUUGGUUAUAAGACAAUCUAAGACAUUGUAGAUCUGUGCUAGUCAUAUAGGUUUUUCUUUUUUUUUGUUUUUGUUUUUGAAUUGAUUUUGGGCUUAUUUGAGGUUUUGAUUUAAUUUGUUAGAUUUGGUUA